AAGCAAUGAGCUGAGUUGAGCAGGGGAAACCGAGCGCGAGCAUGGAGGCGACGGCGGCUGCGGCGGCGGCACCAGCAGCGGCGGCGGAGGAGAGGAGCACGGUGUGCGUGACCGGGGCGGGGGGCUUCGUGGCCUCGUGGCUCGUCAAGCUCCUCCUCUCCACCGCCCGCUACGCCGUCCGCGGCACCGUGCGCGAUCCCAGUAUGUCCAGCGAUCCCCGCUAGCCUCUUGCUCCGAUUCCCCGCCUCCCAGAGCCUGAAGCUGCCACGCGAUCGAAUCGAAGCGGCUAAAUAGGAGAUAUAUUCAAUAGAUCUCCACGAAAUUCGUCUCUACUGCAUCACAGGAACUAGUGCAUGAUCCUCUUGCCAUUGCAGUUCACGAGAAAGUUCUUGGUGCAUACCUGAAUGCUUGUUAGGAUAGGAGCAAGAGGAUCGUAACAGAUUAUAAUGGUGAUGACGUCUGGUGCUACUGCACUUUAGGUGACGGCAAAAAUGCUCAUCUCUUGGCGCUGGAAGGUGCCGGCGAGAGGCUGCAGUUGGUCAAGGCUGACAUGCUGGACUAUAGCAGCGUCGCAUCGGCGGUCGUUGGUUGUGAGGGUGUAUUCCAUGUUGCCAGCCCUGUUCCCUCUGGCCAAUCCUCCAACCCUGAGGAGAUUUGCUGGGUUCAUUAGUUGUCAGCACAUAAAUUUGACAUAUAGCACUGGCAGAUGUUAUAGCUCCUGCUGUAACUGGCACACUGAAUGUGCUGAAAGCUUGCAAGGAGGCAGAAGUGAAGCGAGUCGUCGUGGUGUCUUCAGUUUCUGCUGUAUUCAAUAAUCCAAACUGGCCUAAGGACAAGGCCUUUACUGAGGACAGCUGGUCCAAUGAGGAGUAUUGCAGAAAGAAUGAGGAAUGGUAUUUCCUUUCUAAAACACUGGCAGAGCAUGAGGCUUUUGCUUAUGCAGCAAAAACUGGGCUGGACAUUGUCACUAUUUGCCCAUCAUUGGUAAUUGGACCGUUGAUGCAACAUACAGUAAAUACAAGUGUUAAAGUCUUCCUCAGUUAUAUCAAAGGAGACCAGGAGACAGUUCAAAAUGGAUUCAAGAAUCUAGUGGAUGUUCGUGAUGUCGCUGACGCCCUUCUGUUGGCUUAUGAAAACCCGCUGGCAUCUGGACGGUACCUCUGCAAUUCAUCGCCAAUAAGAGUCUCUGAUAUUGUAAAUAUAUUAAAGACCUCAUUUCCAACAUAUAUUUAUCCCAAAAAGUUCGUGGAAAUUGAAGGCGGCAACACAUAUGACACUGAGAAGCUCCAGAAGCUAGGGUGGACCUACAGGCCUAUGGAGGAAACCCUCCGGGACAGCAUCGAAUGCUACCAACGUUUGGGCAUCCUUAACUGAACAUCCAUCCAGCUGGGUCACCUUUGCCAGGUUUGGCUGCUGGUACUAGCAAACUGUUUGUCUGAACAUGUAAAAAGUGAAGCAGCAUAAGCAUGCGACGGAACCGAACCAGUUAGGGCACCAUGUGAGGUAGUACGGAGGUUAAGAUUAAGAUUCAGAGCACCAUCGUUUCAAUGUUGUCUCUUGGCUUUUGGGCUGACGAACAUGUAUUAUACUACAGGUAUCCCUUGUUAUGUGUUGUAAAUUGAACUGCCAAUUCAGAGUUUUCAGGAACAAAUUCAAGUGGCA